rnacentral:rRNA from 1 species
CCUACGGGUGGCAGCAGUGGGGAAUAUUGGUCAAUGGAGGAAACUCUGACCCAGCAACGCCGCGUGCAUGAUGAAGGUCUUCGGAUUGUAAAGUUCUUUUCUAAGGGAGGUAGAAAGUGACGGUCCCUUAGGAAUAAGCCUCUGCUAACUACGUGCCAGCAGCCGCGGUAAUACGUAGGAUGCGAGCGUUAUCCGGAAUGACUGGGCGUAAGGGGUGCGUAGGUGGUUUGGCAAGUUAGUAGCAUAACUCCAAGGCUCAACCUUGGAACUACUACUAAAACUGUUGGACUUGAGUGCAGGAGGGGCAGCCGGAAGUCCUGGUGUAGCGGUGGAAUGCGUAGAUAUUAGGAGGAACACCAGUGGCGAAGGCGGGUUGCUAGACUGUAACUGACACUGAGGCACGAAAGCGUGGGGAGCAAACAGGAUUAGAUACCCUUGUAGUC